UGGGCGGGCCGCCGCCGCCCGCGGGGAUGGGAGCGCAGAGCGGGGCUGUCGGGGCGCUCGAGGCUGCGGGCGGCCCCGGUGCGGCUUUCCUGGACGGCGUUUGCCGAACGGUGGCCGAAGCCGCGGAGCGGCGGGUGGCUGACGGGGCACGUGCAGCCGCGCUGCCCGGCAAUUCAUCCCGCGCCGCCUCUGCCGCGUCCCCGGGCCGGGUCAGGGCGCUGAAUCCGCAGCGCUGCGAUGUGUCCGCCCGCGGGCGCAUCUCCGGCCCCUGCGCAGCGAUGGAACGGGGGAUCCAGGGCGGAAACUCAGGGCCCAUCCCGCUGCUGGUUUUGCUCGCAGGGCUCACUCAGCGAAUAGGCUCGAGCGUGAGCGCGCGACUAACGGAGACGGCGCGUUGGUGCUGGUAGCAGAGGAAGGAAGCACCCAUCGGACAUCUGAAUGAGUUUGCUGCAGCUUCCCCGACCACAGCAUAGGCUCUGCAUUUGUAACCAGCUGCUUACUGCAGAGAUUGCUGGCACUGCCCAACCUGCUGUGCAGGAAGCGGCUGCUCAGUGGGUUUCUGUCUCAGAGAAGGACACGCAUGAAUUUAUCUUUGUGCUGCAGGUGAGGUCUGCUGAGCACACGCUGAAAACUGGGCCAGCUUCUGCUCCAGCAGCAGGGGAUGUGACACAACUGCUGCUCCCUCCUUGCAGAGCAGCUCCAGGCAGCAGGCAGACCCCUGCCAGGUCAGAGCUCUUGAGGAAAUGACCCUUUCUUGGGGCAAAAUGGGUGUUCUCAGCCUCGGGCUGCCCACCGGCUCUGUGCUCAGGGGUGGGAGCGUGAAGCCCUCCUUUGGGCAGUUUGAUCCCUCCUUAUGGCUGUGUACAGAGAAGGAAAAUUCCUUGGAACGGGGCCUGGCCUUUGUCUGAUUCUGCAAAUGUGCAAAAGUUUCAGCACUGUGCUUUAACAGAAAUAUUUAUUUAAAUCUUGGCUCUUAUGUUUAUUCUUCCUAGUACUUUGCUGCAUAAAUUACUGCAUUGAAGUUAUAUGCACUGGUAAAGGAGUAUAGAGGCUGUUUGAAAAAGUGGAGGCCUUAAAAUCCAACCGUUAAUGGAAAUUAUUCACUGUAUAAAAGCCAAUUCUUGUGUUAUUUCUCUGCCUUCUACAGCAGUGUUUUUAGAUCAAAUUGCCAUUCACUUUUAAGGAUCUUUUUGUUAGGUGUUAUGAGACCACUUGUGCAAAACUACUAUGGAAACUGUGCUUUGGGUUCAGUAUCAAUGCAAUGGUGUUGCUUUUGAACCCAGAAGAAUGCGUAUUUCUUUAUUUGUAUGGGUGCAAAUCAGAUUUGGAGCUUAAUAAUUACACAAUGACAAAAUGUUUGUCCUCUGUAAUUAAGCGUGAUUUCUUCAAAUCAUAUGUUUAUGUGCCAGCUGGCAAAGUGCUUUUCACCCAAGCAGUCAUGAGUGGAGCGUCUUCAAAUCCUGCUGGCAAACCCGACCUCCCCUCGCUUGUCUGUGCCACGUGGACAGGAGAUACAGAUCAAGGAGGGGAUUCCAUGGCAAGGCUGCCUUCCCAGCCCGGGCCCAGGAGGAUGCAGAUGGCAGGCAUCUGAACACAUGUCCUUGGGUGCUGCUUCAGGACCUGCUAGAACCAAGACAUCAGCCCCACAGAGCAUUCCUCUGGUGUAAUGAUUGCAUUCAUUUCUUGACUUAGAACAAGAUUCCCAGGAGUCUGACUGAGCCUUCCCAAUGGUCAUUGGCCAUUCUUAAAAUAAAAGAAAUAGGGUAAUCUGAUUUGAUGAACAGCAUGUAUUUUAUGGGGAAUCAUGUUCUGUGGUCAAACUUCUAAAUUUGUGUUCAAUGACGCUAUGUUUUCCUAGCUGAAUAGGAACUGUUUCUAUUAAGCAGCACUCAGAAAUGGAAAUGAGGUACAUCACAGGGUGAACCAUACUAGUUAUGAAUGGGGGAGUGGUGCAGCCUUCUUGGAAAUGUCCUUUAGGUAAAUCCCUUUCUGAAAAGGAUUAGUUAAUGUGAUGGGACAUAAUCGCCCUGUCUGGGGUGUGCCUUGUACACCCAGCCUCUUUAUUGAUUUCCUUUGUUGUUACUCAUCUGCUGCAAGAGCACCAGCUGGGUUUCCUGCUAGCACCUGGGCAGGGGAUCACAGGCUCCAAUUGCUGAGCAGCCAGGGAGAGGCACAACAGGUGAUUCAACUUUCACCAGCAUUUCCUCAGUGAGGCUGCCCACAUAGCAGGAGUUAUCUUCUAAGUGUUGGAAAGGGAAUUUGAGUUGCCCACCGAAUCCUUCGAGCACCUGGUUCCUGGUUCGCGGAUGCACUGCACGAUGUGAUUCUGUGUGUAGCAAAAUCCGAAAAGAAUUAAAAAGAAGUGA